UGUGGUGCAACGUGGCGUUGGUGGAUGGAGCGAGACAUGAUGUCCCAGAUGUGCUCAAUUGGAUUCAGGUCUGGGGAACGGGCGGGCCAGUCCAUAGCAUCAAUGCCUUCCUCUUGCAGGAACUGCUGACACACUCCAGCCACAUGAGGUCUAGCAUUGUCUUGCAUUAGGAGGAACCCAGGGCCAACCGCACUAGCAUAUGGUCUCACAAGGGGUCUGAGGAUCUCAUCUCGGUACCUAAUGGAAGUCAGGCUACCUCUGGCAAGCACAUGGAGGGCUGUGCGGCCCCCCAAAGAAAUUCCACCCCACACCAUGACUGACCCACCGCCAAACCGGUCAUGCUGGAGGAUGUUGCAGGCAGCAGAAUGUUCUCCAAUGCGUCUCCAGACUCUGUCACGUCUGUCACAUGCUCAGUGUGAACCUGCUUUCAUCUGUGAAGAGCACAGGGCGCCAGUGGCGAAUUUGCCAAUCUUGGUGUUCUCUGGCAAAUGCCAAACAUCCUGCACGGUGUUGGGCUGUAAGCACAACCCCCACCUGUGGAUGUCGGGCCCUCAUACCACCCUCAUGGAGUCUGUUUCUGACCGUUUGAGCAGACACAUGCACAUUUGUGGCCUGCUGGAGGUCAUUUUGCAGGGUUCUGGCAGUGCUCCUCCUGCUCCUCCUUGCACAAAGGCGGAGGUAGCGGUCCUGCUGCUGGGUUGGUGCCCUCCUACGGCCUCCUCCACGUCUCCUGAUGUACUGGCAUGUCUCCUGGUAGCGCCUCCAUGCUCUGGACACUACGCUGACAGACACAGCAAACCUUCUUGCCACAGCUCGCAUUGAUGUGCCAUCCUGGAUGAGCUGCACUACCUGAUCCACUUGUGUGGGUUGUGGACUCCGUCUCAUGCUACCACUAGAGUGAAAGCACCGCCAGCAUUCAAAAGUGACCAAAACAUCAGCCAGGAAGCAUAGGAACUGAGAAGUGGUCUGUGGUCCCCACCUGCAGAACCACUCCUUUAUUGGGGGUGUCUUGCUAAUUGCCUAUAAUUUCCACCUGUUGUCUAUUCCAUUUGCACAACAGCAUGUGAAAUUUAUUGUCAAUCAGUGUUGCUUCCUAAGUGGACAGUUUGAUUUCACAGAAGUGUGAUUGACUUGGAGUUACAUUGUGUUGUUUAAGUGUUCCCUUUAUUUUUUUGAGCAGUGUAUAUAUAUAUAUAUAUAUACCUCGAGAGGGGAUGAAACAGUGUAUAUAUAUAUGUAUAUCUAUGGACUGGCCCACCCGUUCCCCAGACCUGAAUCCAAUUGAACACAUCUGGGACAUCAUGU
rnacentral:lncRNA from 1 species